rnacentral:tRNA from 1 species
GCCCCUGUAAUCUAGCCCGGUCAAACAAGCUGAUAGGAUACGGCCCUCUCGAGGCUGAAACUCGGGUUCGAAUCCCGACGGGGGCA